AGUCGAACGAGAAACGGUCUAGCUUGCUAGAUGCAGUCUAAGUGGCGGACGGGUGAGUAAUGUAUAGCUAAUGUGCCCCUUGGAGAGGGAUAACAGUUAGAAAUGACUAGCUAAUACCUCAUACUCCUUAUGCCUUAAUGGUAUAAGGGAAAUGUUUUUUCGCCAAGGGAUCAGGCUAUAUGGUAUCAGCUAGUUGGUGAGGUAACGGCUCACCAAGGCAAUGACGCCUAACUGGUCUGAGAGGAUGAUCAGUCACACUGGAACUGAGACACGGUCCAGACUCCUACGGGAGGCAGCAGUGGGGAAUAUUACACAAUGGAGGAAACUCUGAUGUAGCAACGCCGCGUGGAGGAUGACACAUUUCGGUGCGUAAACUCCUUUUAUAUGGGAAGAUAAUGACGGUACCAUAUGAAUAAGCACCGGCUAACUCCGUGCCA
rnacentral:rRNA from 1 species